UGCAGGAUUCCCACGGGAGGGAAGCUGGCUGGGACCGACGUGUGAGUGCAUCUCCACUCAGCUGCAGGGAUGGGAUGCUCCCCUUGGACUGGUGGCCUCUCAUUAAAGGUGCUGGCAUAUGUGGCCAGGAAAGGCAAAUGUGCAGGACACUGAGUAUCAGCCGUGGUCCUUCUCCCAGACCAUGCUUGUGCAGGAUCUGGCCACUGAGGAAGAAGCACAGUCUGAAAGCAGAGCCAGAGCUUGGGGCUGCCUAACUUUGAAGGUGAUCUGCUGGGACCAUCAUGAGGGGCAGUAUGGCUAUCCUGAGCUGCUAUUGUGGUGAACCACCUACCAGUUCACUGCUGGAAACCAGUUUGCUACAGCUGGACGUUCACCUCGGGACCUGAAUUUCCUUGUGAUGGAGCUCUGGGCACCCUCGCCUGGCGGGAGCAGAGGAUCUCCAUUGCCUUCAAGCUUUGCCAUCACCUCAGAUGCUCAUGCAAUGCACACAGUGUAAGUUAUCCUGAGCAUCCCUAAAGCACUUGAUACCUUUCCUAAACUCCCACCUGCUGGAGUGAUGUGAAGGUUUUUUUGGGGU